GGCGCAGUGGCAGAGUGGUCUAAUGCGAUAGACUAGAACGGGCUUCCUAGGAAGUUCCUCUAGCUCAUCUAUUCCCUUCGGGGGCGUCUGUUCGAAUCAGGCCUGCGUCG